CCUAAUUCUAACCCUAACCCGACAGAUGAUGACGUUUCACAGCCAUAAGGAAUAACCAAUCAGAGCCCAGCACUUCUAGCCAAUAAGAGGCGUUUGUCAGUUUGUUGACAGCACAGGCGUAAAUACAACGCUUCUUCUUCUGCGGUUGUUUUGGCGAAAUCAGACAACUUUACGCAUGUCCAAAUGAUUCUAAUCUGAAUAAAGCUUGGUGUAUGUAUACGCACGUCAUGAUCGGAUUGUUUGAUUUUGCACAGAUUUUCUAAACAUGGCUAUUGUCAUCCCACACCAAAACAGUGGACAUGUAUCUCUAACACAUGGUUCUUAUCAAAUGCACAUUAUUUAGCUGCUUCCAACCCGUUU